CCCUUAGAUGUCCUGGGCCGCACGCGCGCUACACUGACAUGUUCAACAAGUUUCUCCUAGUUCGACAGGACUGGGAAAUCUUUGAACGCAUGUCGUGAUAGGGAUAGAUCAUUGCAAUUAUUGAUCUUGAACGAGGAAUUCCUAGUAAACGCGAGUCAUCAGCUCGCAUUGACUACGUCCCUGCCCUUUGUACACACCGCCCGUCGCACCUACCGAUUGAAUGUUUCGGUGAAGAUUCCGGAUAGGACUGAUUUGAUUUAUUUCAUUUCUGACCUAAAAGCUAUCUAAACCUCAACAUUUAGAGGAAGGUGAAGUCGUAACA
rnacentral:rRNA from 1 species